GAUGAAGAACGCAGCGAAAUGCGAUACGUAAUGUGAAUUGCAGAAUUCAGUGAAUCAUCGAGUCUUUGAACGCACAUUGCGCCCCCUGGUAUUCCGGGGGGCAUGCCUGUCCGAGCGUCAUUUCUGCCCUCGAGCGAGUCCAGCAUCUAGGUGCUGGGCCCGCCCGGCGUUGGGGCACUACGGGAAGCCCUGUGCUGUCCCCCGUAGGCCCCGAAAUGAAGUGGCGGUCCUGUCGCGGCGCCCCCUGCGUAGUAUAACAGCUCGCUUCGGGACCCGGUGGAGGCCUGCCGUCAAACCUUACUCUCUAAGUUUGACCUCGGAUCAGGUAGGGUUACCCGCUGAACUUAAGCAUAUCAAUAAGCGGAGGA
rnacentral:misc_RNA from 1 species